rfam:Orchesella cincta Ocin01_Sc5093, whole genome shotgun sequence.
CCAACGGCCUUUUUAAAGGCCACCAAAUAUUUCGAAGAGCAAAGUG